rnacentral:rRNA from 1 species
AGGGAGAUGUCGAUUUGGAGGUUGUGCCCUUGAGGCGUGGCUUCCGGAGCUAACGCGUUAAAUCGACCGCCUGGGGAGUACGGCCGCAAGGUUAAAACUCAAAUGAAUUGACGGGGGCCCGCACAAGCGGUGGAGCAUGUGGUUUAAUUCGAUGCAACGCGAAGAACCUUACCUGGUCUUGACAUCCACAGAACUUUCCAGAGAUGGAUUGGUGCCUUCGGGAACUGUGAGACAGGUGCUGCAUGGCUGUCGUCAGCUCGUGUUGUGAAAUGUUGGGUUAAGUCCCGCAACGAGCGCAACCCUUAUCCUUUGUUGCCAGCGGUUCGGCCGGGAACUCAAAGGAGACUGCCAGUGAUAAACUGGAGGAAGGUGGGGAUGACGUCAAGUCAUCAUGGCCCUUACGACCAGGGCUACACACGUGCUACAAUGGCAUAUACAAAGAGAAGCGACCUCGCGAGAGCAAGCGGACCUCAUAAAGUAUGUCGUAGUCCGGAUUGGAGUCUGCAACUCGACUCCAUGAAGUCGGAAUCGCUAGUAAUCGUAGAUCAGAAUGCUACGGUGAAUACGUUCCCGGGCCUUGUACACACCGCCCGUCACACCAUGGGAGUGGGUUGCAAAAGAAGUAGGUAGCUUAACCUUCGGGAGGGCGCUUACCACUUUGUGAUUCAUGACUGGGGUGAAGUCUCAAAGGGGGAACCAAAAUUUUUUUUUUUUGGGGGUGCUACCUUAAAAGAGGAUUAGUUACC